GAAAUGCGAUAAGUAAUGUGAAUUGCAGAAUUCAGUGAAUCAUCGAAUCUUUGAACGCACAUUGCGCCCCUUGGUAUUCCUUGGGGCAUGCCUGUUCGAGCGUCAUUUGACCCCUCAAGCCCAGCUUGGUGAUGGGCGUCUGUCCCCGCCCCCCGCGCGAGGACUCGCCCCAAAAUCAUUGGCGGCCGGUACGUUGGCUUCGAGCGCAGCAGAAACGCACCUCGAGCCCGGCGGACCGGCUCCCAGAAGCUUUACCAUCUUGACCUCGGAUCAGGUAGGAGUACCCGCUGAACUUAA
rnacentral:misc_RNA from 1 species